UUGGUCAUGUGCUAGUACACAUCUGGUAGGAUCUAGGGAGGGGUUGCCAGCCGGAGGGUGACUGAUGAUAGCCGGAGGGUGGCUGAUGAUGUGGCAACGAGUCUUGUGGGUUGGUAAGAUUAAAUGAGACUGACCUUCCAGCCUACUACAUAAGAAUGAUCUAGCUUGAUACGGAUCAACUCAGGGUUAUGGAGUUCUGUAUGGUUAAUAAAGACUAAUAAACUCUAUAUUUUUUUAAGUAGUAAUCUUUUGAAAAGUUG
rnacentral:lncRNA from 1 species